GGGCGAUUAGCUCAGCGGGAGAGCAUCCGCCUUACAAGCGGAGGGUCGCUGGUUCAAAUCCAGCAUCGCCCACCA
rnacentral:tRNA from 1 species